GCACACUCUACUGGGUAUGCUACAAAGACUUAGAUAACGACAGAAUUUGCUACGAUGCUGCCGAUCCGAGUGCAACUCCUUGUUGUUUUGUUGGGCCUCAUCUGUGUUGCUGAACAUGAGGUCAAUGGACACGAACCGGUUCGUCCUGUCCUGGCGAAGGGAAUGGUCCAGCCGUUGGUGAUAUUGAUAGGUGCAAAAGAUGCAAAUCGUGGAAACCAGGCAGGUUCACCAGAAACAAAGGAGUCCCACCUACCAGCUUAAAGUCUGUCAACCUGGCAAAGAAAGAUGAAUAAACACUGGAAAUGAA